CAAGUCGCACGAGAAAGGGUAGCAAUACCUGAGUACAGUGGCGCACGGGUGAGUAACACGUGAAUUAUCUACCUUCGAGUGGGGAAUAACUGGGAGAAAUCUCAGCUAAUACCGCAUAACACUUACGAGUCAAAGCAGCAAUGCGCUUGAAGAGGAGUUCGCGGCAGAUUAGUUAGUUGGCGGGGUAAUGGCCCACCAAGACGAUGAUCUGUAUCCGGCCUGAGAGGGCGCACGGACACACUGGAACUGAAACACGGUCCAGACUCCUACGGGAGGCAGCAGUGGGGAAUUUUGCGCAAUGGGGGAAACCCUGACGCAGCAACGCCGCGUGGAGGAUGAAAUCCCUUGGGAUGUAAACUCCUUUCGAUCGGGACGAUUAUGACGGUACCGGAAGAAGAAGCCCCGGCUAACUUCGUGCCAGCAGCCGCGGUAAUACGAGGGGGGCAAGCGUUGUUCGGAAUUAUUGGGCGUAAAGGGCGCGUAGGCGGUUUGACAAGUCUGAUGUGAAAUCUCUGGGCUCAACCCAGAGUCUGCAUUAGAAACUGUCGGGCUUGAGUAUGGGAGAGGUGAGUGGAAUUUCCGGUGUAGCGGUGAAAUGCGUAGAUAUCGGAAGGAACACCUGUGGCGAAAGCGGCUCACUGGACCAUAACUGACGCUGAGGCGCGAAAGCUAGGGGAGCAAACAGGAUUAGAUACCCUGGUAGUCCUACCCCUAAACGAUGAUUGCUUGGUGUGACAGGUACCCAAUCCUGUCGUGCCGAAGCUAACGCGAUAAGCAAUCCGCCUGGGGAGUACGGUCGCAAGGCUGAAACUCAA
rnacentral:rRNA from 1 species